rnacentral:rRNA from 1 species
AGUGAACGCGGGCGGCGUGCCUAAUACAUGCAAGUCGAACGGAAUUUAAAAGAGCUUGCUCUUUUAAAUUUAGUGGCGCACGGGUGAGUAAUAUAUAGCUAAUCUGCCCCUUGCUGGAGGACAACAGUUAGAAAUGACUGCUAAUACUCCAUACUCCUUUUUACCAUAAGAUAAAUCGGGAAAGAAUUUCGGCAAGGGAUGAGACUAUAUCGUAUCAGCUAGUCGGUGGGGUAACGGCCUACCGAGGCUAUGACGCGUAACUGGUCUGAGAGGAUGAUCAGUCACAUUGGAACUGAGACACGGUCCAAACUCCUACGGGAGGCAGCAGUAGGGAAUAUUGCGCAAUGGGGGAAACCCUGACGCAGCAACGCCGCGUGGAGGAUGACACUUUUCGGAGCGUAAACUCCUUUUGUUAGGGAAGAAUAAUGACGGACCUAACGAAUAAG